CUUCAGCGAGCCGAGCCACAGCGGGUGCUCCGGGGUACGGCCCGAGCCGUAGGCCGCCGCCAGCGCGCGGGCUUC
rnacentral:antisense_RNA from 1 species